rnacentral:lncRNA from 1 species
GAGUGAUUAGAACGGACUAGGGAUUCUUCACUCUUGUAAAGUUGAUUUUGAUUAUCAAAUUGUUUCUGAAUAGACAUUCUAGAUUAGUAUUAGGGGUUUGGGGUUUGGGAUUUGGGAUUGGGGGUUUUAGAUUUGGGGUUGGGGGUUUUAGAUUUGGGGUUAGAGUUUUAAGGUUUAAGGGUUUCAGGGUUUGGGAUUUAGGAUUUAAAGGCUUAGGGCUUAGGGCUUAGAGCUUAGGGUUUAGGGUUUAAGAGUUUAGGAUUUUAGGGGUUUAGGUUUUAGAGUUAUUAUCUUUUGGUCAUCAAUCUUAGUUGGUAUUAUAUCUUCAUUUCCAUUCUCACUAAGUUUAUAUUCCAUAUAUUCUAUAUUUUUUACUAAUUUUUAAACGUUUAUCUUCUAAUAUUUUACUACAUAUCUCUUUUCAUUAAUCAAUACUAUAACAUCCACAAGUAACAUACACCAUGGUACAUCUUCUUGAAUAUUAGCAGUAAGCUCUUCCAUAAUUUAGUAAAAAAGAUAUAGGUUUAGUGUCGAUUCUUUUUGCAAACAUAUAAUAACUGGAAAUAGACUUAUUGUAGCACAUCAACUUCUAAUAUUUGUCAAUGCCAUUUAUACAUGUCCUCAAUUAUUUUAACAUACUAUCUAUGUACACCCUUCCUUCUUGAAGCCCACCAAAUCACUGUUCUUAGGACACUAUUAUAAACAUUUUCUGAGUAAAUGAAAAUCAUAUGUAAACUUUUUUCUUUUUCUCUUUUUUUUAUAUCAAUUGUCUAAGUAAAAGAAUAGCCUUCAUUUCUUGAUCUUUUAUAUAUAAAUCCAAAUUGCUUAUCUGAAAUAGUUAUUAUUUUUCUUAAAUAUUAUUUCGGUACCCUUUUCCAUAAUUUCAUGGAGUGAUUUCUAUAGCUAAUUCUCUAAUAAUUAGAUCAUUCAUGUACAUCUUUGUUCUUAUAUAUAGAUACUGUCAUACUUUUCCAACAAUCUAAUACUUUUUUGGUUUUUAAGAUUUCAUUAAAUAAUUUAGUAGGAUAAUUUAACCCAAUAUCUCCCAUGAUUUUCCAAACCUCAAUAGUUAUUUCAUCUAGCUCUAAUGCCUUGCAUUUUUGCAUUCUAUCUAAAACUAUGUUUACUUCACUUUUAUAAAUUGUACAUCUUUAAUUCAAUGCAUCUAACCCAAUCAACGUCUUUAAUUUUUCUCUCUAGCUUUAACUAUUUUACAAAUUUAAUUUCACCUUCUUUUGAACAUUAUCUAUCAUAUAAAUUAUCCUAUGCUACAUAUUUAGCUUUACGUACUAACAUUUUUUUGCCUCCUUUUGUCUUAUAAAAUCAUUGUCAUAUUUGUUUUUCGCCACUAUUUAAAGUGAAUCCAUUUUAUUCAAAUUGCCUCGUAUCUUAUUAUUUAACCACCAAGUUUCUUUAUUUGUAUAUCUUUGUCUUCUGACUUUUCUAGAACAUCUUUAACUACCCUCUUAAUUCAAUUAAUUAUUUGGUUCCAUAUUUUAUUUGGUUCAAUCCGUAGGUUCCUUCCCUUCUUUAUUGAUUUAUCUUUAAAAGAUAUUAACAUAUUCUCCUUUUAAAUCCCACCAUCUUAUCUUUGAAUAUUUAUUUAUUUUUUUUCUUCAUGCACCUAGUGUAUCAAUCUAAGACUAGUAAUCUAUAUUGUGUAGUUAAACUCUCCUGUAUCACCUUACAAUCCAUGCAUGUUGAUCUUUGUUUUCUCUUGAUGAAGGAGUAAUCUAUUUGGGACAAAUUUGAUCGACUCUUAAAUGUUAGUCAUAUCUAUGUUAAAAUAAUUGUUUGCAAUUACUAGGUCAUAAGCUAUUGCAAACUCAACAAUUGAAUCUCCAAUUAAAUAUUUAUCCUCAAAAUCAAAUCUUCUAUGUAUUCUCUCAUAUCCCAUAUUGCUUUUUCCUUGCAUGUCCAGUUAAGUUGCCACCGACAAAUAUUCUUUCUCUUUCAGUUAUACCUUACAUCAGUUUAUCCAUUUCACCCCAAAACUGUUGCUUAACCCUCUUCUUUGAGCCUACUUGUGUUCGUAAGUGUUAACUACAUUAAUAGUCUUCUCAUCUAAAACUAAUUUAAUGAUUAUUAAUCUAUCUCUUAUUCACUACAAUUAUAUUUUGUUUCCUUAUUCAAUACUAUUUUUGUACCAUUUCAAUUAUUAUUCUUACGUACCUAUAAUAGUUUAUAACCAUCCCCUAUAUCCUUAGAUUUACUACCUUUUUAUUUAGUUUCUUGUAAGCAAGCAAUAUUGAUUUUUCUAAGUGUCAUUGUAUCCAUUAGUUUUUUACUCCUUCUAGUCGAAGUUCCAAGUAGCAAACCUAAUUGUCUUAUGUAUAGUUACCUUCUUUACAUGAUGCAAUUUCCCUUAUCUCC